UCAUUCUGCAGAUGAGUCCUUUGUUGUCCUCAUGACAUAACUGUGAACUUCAUACUCGAUGUCUUGGUCUCGGAGAAAUGUUGUUGAUAUCUCUCAAUGGCGUGCGCCGGCUUCGAUGGUUCUUGGAUCUUCCAGCUGGAACUCUGAGUGCGUAGGGGAUGAAGGGGGAGCAUUGAGGAGCUUGGUUCUCAACGGUUGGAGCUCUUUCUGAAGCUCUUUAACUACUUUCUGUAGCUCAACUACCUUGCGUUCUGAAGAUCUCGCCUUUUGCUUCCACUCAAGCUUCUGGAACAGAGAAGAUUUACAGAUGUUACAGACUAACCAUUCCAAGAAUUAAGUUAAACAUGCAAUUAUCAAAGAACUAUGCUACUUUCUCAAA